rnacentral:RNase_P_RNA from 1 species
GGAGUCGGCCAGACAAUCGCUGUACGCUCGUCGUAUAGAGGAAAGUCCGGGCUCCGCAGGGCAGGGUGCCAGGUAACGCCUGGACGGCGUAAGCCGAUGGAAAGUGCCACAGAAAUGAUACCGCCGAAGUCCGUCAGGACUGGUAAGGGUGAAAUGGUGCGGUAAGAGCGCACCGCACCCCUGGCAACAGGGGUGGCACGGUAAACCCCACUCGGAGCAAGACCAAAUAGGGGAGCUAUGGUGCGGCCCGCACCGCUCCCGGGUUGGUUGCUUGAGGUGCCUGGCGACAGGCAUCCCAGAGGAAUGGUUGUCCACGACAGAACCCGGCUUACCGGCCGACUCCCACA